AACAAAACCUGUGUGGACUGGCUGACAAUAAAAUAAGUUUAGAUAAUGCAGACUUUGGUCUCUCUAACACUGUGGCAUGUCCCGUUUCUUCUACACUCACUACAUACACCUUUUUUCUGUCUCAGACUAUAUACUAGGAACUUCUGCCUGCUAGUAAGAUGAUAAGGAGACAAGUAGACAUGUGAGUGCUAGGGGACAGUCCUUAGAAAGCGU